rnacentral:rRNA from 1 species
AUUGAACGCUGGCGGCAUGCCUUACACAUGCAAGUCGAACGGUAACAGGUCUUCGGAUGCUGACGAGUGGCGAACGGGUGAGUAAUACAUCGGAACGUGCCCGAUCGUGGGGGAUAACGAAGCGAAAGCUUUGCUAAUACCGCAUACGAUCUACGGAUGAAAGCGGGGGAUCGCAAGACCUCGCGCGGACGGAGCGGCCGGUGGCAGAUUAGGUAGUUGGUGGGGUAAAAGCUUACCAAGCCGACGAUCUGUAGCUGGUCUGAGAGGACGACCAGCCACACUGGGACUGAGACACGGCCCAGACUCCUACGGGAGGCAGCAGUGGGGAAUUUUGGACAAUGGGCGCAAGCCUGAUCCAGCCAUGCCGCGUGCAGGAUGAAGGCCUUCGGGUUGUAAACUGCUUUUGUACGGAACGAAAAGACUCUGGUUAAUACCUGGGGUCCAUGACGGUACCGUAAGAAUAAGCACCGGCUAACUACGUGCCAGCAGCCGCCGUAAGAC